rnacentral:lncRNA from 1 species
UGAGCGUUUGCCUAGGAGACUGUUUGCUCUCAAAGUAGGCUUUUAGCUCUGCUGUGUUGCUGCCCGCUUUAGUUUCUAUGAAACAGAUUGCUUACUUAAAUCAUUAGUUGAAUGAUUAGUGUUCAAUAUUGCUUUAAUCACCGUCGAGAGGAAAAGAAAAAAGAAAAAAAAUUUUGGUGACAGAGCACAAAUAAAUAGAAAACCUGUUUUUAAAUAGAAAUCACAAAUCACAAGUGUGGAAGCACUACUUUAUUUUUGUCUAAAAUUUGCUUAAAGAGAAGUCAGAUGAACGAACUGAGAUGUUGGCCUUUUCGUGGGCUGUAUUUCACUGCUAAUAAAAAAGUAAAAAGGGAGUACCAGGAUUUAUUAAAUAAAGCAUUUUGGAAAUGGGGAAUGGCGCCAUGUAGGUGUAUAUAUAUAUUUUUAGCCUAAUUCUCGCCCAGCAUACCUUCCAGGGCACCAGGGCUGAAAUUGUGGACUCUAUUUUCACGUGUACACACCCCUUUGCCUGUUGCUUUCCCACAGACUUGAAAUCACACUUCCAAGUAAGAGGGAAUUCUGCUCAUUCAUUUUUUAAACUGACUAUAGUGGUCACUAAACCCCCUUUGAGAGAAUCUCUAUUAAACGUGAGGUAGACUCAUUUUAUUUUAAUUGCACAAUGGUCUGACAAGGCUGUAACACCGAACUGGCUCUUUUUUUUUUUUUUUCCUUAAAAAGAAAAUUGACACUUUUGAUGUCAACUGGAUGUGAUUAAAAAUAAUGAUUGCCAAUUCUGUUUUCAUUCUCCAGUGGCCAGAAUCAUCAUCCUCGAAAUUUCUAGUAGUGCCUUUGCUUGGGGUUUUUUUUUUUUUUUUUCAUAAAGGGAUUGUUACUAAGUUAAAAAUAUUUCAGUUUAGAAUUUGGACCUCAGACAAGAUACUGAACCUCAUUCGGUUUGACCUUCCAUGUGUUUGUACAAAUUAAGGUCACCAGAUACCGAAGCACGAGCACGGAAGGAUACUGACACUAUAAGCAAUAUUCUCCGCGGAUGGACCCAAACAUCACCUUGAUAGCUACUGGUCACUGCUACAACGUGCAUCUUAAACCCCUGUUACCGAGUUCCGUUGUUCAUGUCCUGACUGAUACGCGCUACUCCUUGUGCAGCUUGUUAAUUUCAUGUAGGUGUUUCUUCCAAACUAUGUAUUUUUGCCGAUGUGUUGCUUGUGUUUCAUUCUUCUUAGUCACUUGUGCAACAUAGUGAUAUAUUGUGUUGAUUUGGACAGUAGCGGUUUUUAAAAACCAUAUACUGACUGAAAACAUGAGCCAGAGCUGACUGCUUUAUUAAGCUAAUAAUGAAUGUUAAAGAGUACAUAUUUUCAGGAUUAUUCAUCUAGUAAGCAAUACACAUAUAUAGGCCAAUAUUUUUUUAAAAAAUAGAGCUUGGUCAACCUCUAUACUACACAUAUUACAAGAUAUAGCACUUUCAAAACGAAUCUAAACCUUUACAGAAAAACUUUCUUAUAGGUUAUGCCUUUUAUUUUAAGACUUAUUAUAAUUUGUUUCAAGUGCCAUUAGAGGAUAGAUAUAUAGGCCUUUGAUGUAUAAUGCUUUGUGUUCAAGAAUGGUAGACGGUAUUUUAAACAGGUACAGUUUUACAGUGUUUUCUUAUCAAUUUGCUAUAUUGCACAGAAUCAGUGUGUCUUUUCAUAAGGUUUUACAAUGGUUUAUUUUUUUUACAAGGUUUACGUGUCUCAAAACACACUGUCUUCCCAGUAUGUAAGUUAAAAUACAAAAAAAAAUAUUGACCCAAGUUGCUUCCAGCCUACUGAGAUCCAGGCGACAUUGGAGGAGAUCUUUUAGACGUCAUGUAUUCUUCAUUAGCAAUGGCAGACUGUUACCUCUGAGAAGUGAGUGCCUACGUUGAGCCCUUGUCUUAUUUUUCUCACGCUGUGUCAGCAGCCACAUCAAUCACACAGAUGGUCUGUGGUGAUCCCAUAGAUCCACGUUAGGCUGUGUUGUGUAGCUCUGUGCUGAGAACCCAUGCAGAGCUCCCUUCUGAUCCAUCCAAAUGGAUCCUUUCUUACACAUCCAAAUGAUACGACCCACAACGGGCAAGGCACGUUCCUAUCACCCCCCGGCCCUUCUGCAAUAUUGUCAACCUCUGAGGUUGGAAGGCAGUGUCUUUUGAUAAGUUACCUAGCUUAGAAAGGACAGAACUAUUGCUAAUGUGUAAAACACUUCAUUGUAUAAGCUUCAGUGGUACAGAUGACCCAGAAUGAAUGUGUAUCUUCUCAGAAACACUCCUUCAAUAUUCUGUCGGAUCAUGCUGCUAAUGUAACUUGGGAUACAACUCUUCAUGGUGCUACAGACUUCUCUGUCUCGUUCAGUCGUAUUUUUUUUUUAUCCAUAGGAAAAAAAAGGACUACAUUAGGUGUAAAGGUGUACAAUAUAUUUUUAUACUGUGACUUCAUUUGUCUUUAACAAGACUUUUACACCACCCACCACAAUGUAUUCAUGUGCACUUGCAAAAGGAAACCUUGGACGUGCAAAUGUUAUACCAGAACAAACCCAGCUUUGUCCACAAAGGUGACCGUGACUCGGAAAGAAACAUGGGCUUUAUAAUAUGGUGUGGAGUGAAGAACAUGCUGUACGUUACUAACAGCCCUUUGAAUUUAACAAAAACUGGGCAUCCAUUCGGAAAUGGAUUGCAUCAUGCCUGAACAUAAGCUGGACUGCUGAAAUUGUAUUUUUAGCUGACGAAAAAGUGUUUGGACUAGUACUCUAAAAAUGUUCUGAUGAUAAAGUUUUGAGUCAAAAUAGAAAAGAGAAACUGCAUUCCAGGCUGCAUUUUGUAUAUUUUUAUUGCAUUUAAAAUUCGCUCUUCUGUGAUACCGGGAAAUCAAGUGGCUUAUCCUGUAUAUCAUGUACUUAAAAUGUAUUCACAAACUACUGUUGUGUUUGUAUAAAAUAUAGACAAAGAUCAUAUUUUCUGUGUGUGUAUAAGCUCUGUAAAAUAGCAAUCACAUUAUGAAGCUGCAGCAAGACUACAUUUUAAACAUCCACAUCCAAAGAAGCAGGCUAUUUAUUGUCCAGUUACCCAGUUAUAAAAUACUCAUUUGCUGCUAAUUAAACAAUAGUACUGCAGCUUCUCAUGGCCUACAGUGUUAUGUUUGCUGUAAGAAAAAGAUAUGUGAACUCCACAAAAAUAUAUGAAUAAAAAUUAUAGAAUGGCUUUAGAUAAUGUAGAUCUUCCUGAAAUUAUAACAGAUGAUAAAUUUCUAUUUGGUAUAACAUUUUUUUCCCUUUGAAUUUGAAAUAUUUUCUCAUUUGAUAAAUAUAAGAUUCUAAUAGCUGCCUCUAGGACAAUACUUGGUUGUUGAAAUGUAAAGUUCUAGGGUUUCUUUUGUUUUGUCUUAACUUUUGUACCUUGAAAGGAAGGAUAGAAAUUGUAAAUAAAAAAGUCAAAAUGUUGUGCAUCAAAACUUUAAUCCAGGUGAAAAUUCAAACAAAGAAUCUCCCAAAGGCUGUUAGAAUGUAUAGAGCAAUCAUGUUUUUAUUCAUAUGAGAUAAAAUGGGCAUUAAGUAUUUCUUUGGCACUUACUGUCCAUCAGUCCUGUAAAUUAUCUUUUUAGACGUUCUCUUUGGGCUAUUUGUCUAAAACUUGGCUGAAAAUCCUCCCUUGACCAUUUACCUGGACCAGAGUAAUGAGCUCACAGAUGUCAUUUUGUCUCAAAUUCAUCAGUUAAACAGUGAUGCAUCUUUGAAAGAAAGAGAUUAAUUCUGAAAAUCCAGUUAAUAAUCUGGCCAGGAACCAGUGGCAGGAAAAAAAUUUUUUUUGGAUUUCUCAUAGCACCUCUUUCAUUAUGAUAGGAAAAAUUGCUUCUUAACCUUUGACUUUCCUGUCCUAAGGUUCUCUACCUUCAGAAAGGUAAAGAAGAUGCACAGUGACUCCCCAUUUGGCAGUUCCUCUUUUCACAUACCUAAUUCCAGCAAAUCUAAAAGCAUUUCUUUGUUGAUUCUUAGCAUUAACACUACAUACAUUUUUAUUUAAAUUCACGCAUAUGAAAUAUUUUAAGGACUAUUUAUAGAAAGGAAAAUGCUAUUGCUUUUUAUAGUCAGAAUACUCUGAAAAAGGAUGUUUGGGGUUAAUUCACUUAAGGUGUAUUCUCCCUUAUGGAAAAGCAAUUAGAAGUGCAGUUUAAGCAAAGCAUUAAGCAUAAGCAUUGCACCAUAGAUCCAGUGGGGCUAAAAGACUUCUUCAUGCAGGUUUUUGUUAGAUGAAAAGUUAGUACUGAUGAUUUAUCAUUAAGGGGAGGAAAACUUCAGUCUGACUAAAGACAGCCUGAGUUUUUGCUGCCACUUUUCCUUAAAUGAGCAUUUCUUAAGCAGAAGGCACCUUUUCAUGCGAAGUCCUGGGCUGUUCCCAAGGAGUCAGCUUUACAGAAAGAGGCUGGUUUCCUGAUGAACCGUUGCAAUGAAGAUGACACCAUCAUUACAACAGUGGGAAGGUGUAAAUGCUGUAUUGAGUUGUACCCAGUUACCCUUUUUUGUAGAUCAAAAAUGAUCAAAUAUUGGCGGUUUCAGACUAAAACUAAAAACAACCAAGCCCAGAAUGUCUCAACUUCACCUGCUUUCUAUUCAACACAGAGG